CCCUUAGAUGUCCUGGGCCGCACACGCGCUACACUGAAGGAGGCAGCGUGUACUCCUGGAUCGAAAGAUUUGGGUAACCCGCGAAUCUCCUUCGUGCUAGGGAUUGAGGUUUGCAAUUAUCCUUCAUGAACGAGGAAUUCCCAGUAAGUGCAAGUCAUAAGCUUGCGCUGACUACGUCCCUGCCCUUUGUACACACCGCCCGUCGCUACUACCGAUUGAAUGAUUUAGUGAGGACUUCAGACUGGGACCGAUGCGGCUUUCGGGCUGCGUCGGUAUUCUGGAAAGAUGUCCAAACUGUAUCAUUUAGAGGAAGUAAAAGUCGUANCA
rnacentral:rRNA from 1 species